rnacentral:rRNA from 1 species
AGUGAACGCUGGCGGCGUGCCUAAUACAUGCAAGUCGAACGGAGUGGCGCACGGGUGAGUAAUAUAUAGCUAAUCUGCCCCUUGCUGGAGGACAACAGUGAGAAAUGACUGCUAAUACUCCAUAGCAAGGGAUGAGACUAUAUCGUAUCAGCUAGUCGGGGGGGUAACGGCCUACCGAGGCUAUGACGCGUAACUGGUCUGAGAGGAUGAUCAGUCACAUUGUAACUGAGACACGGUCCAAGCUCCUACGGGAGGCAGCAGUAGGGAAUAUUGCGCAAUGGGUGAAACCCUUGCGCAGCAACGCCGCGUGGAGGAUGACACUUUUCGGAGCGUAAACUCCUUUUGUUACGGCCGCGUUACCUAACGAAUAAGCACCGGCUAACUCCGUGCCAGCAGCCGCGGUAAUAC